rnacentral:rRNA from 1 species
AUUGAACGCUGGCGGCAUGCUUUACGCAUGCAAGUCGAGCGGCAGCGCGGGCUUCGGCCUGGCGGCGAGUGGCGAACGGGUGAGUAAUGCAUCGGAACGUGCCCAGUAGUGGGGGAUAGCCCGGCGAAAGCCGGAUUAAUACCGCAUACGACCUGAGGGUGAAAGCGGGGGACCGAAAGGCCUCGCGCUAUUGGAGCGGCCGAUGUCGGAUUAGCUAGUUGGUGGGGUAAAGGCUUACCAAGGCGACGAUCCGUAGCUGGUCUGAGAGGACGACCAGCCACACUGGGACUGAGACACGGCCCAGACUCCUACGGGAGGCAGCAGUGGGGAAUUUUGGACAAUGGGGGCAACCCUGAUCCAGCCAUGCCGCGUGCGGGAAGAAGGCCUUCGGGUUGUAAACCGCUUUUGUUCGGGAAGAAAUCCUCUGGGCUAAUACCCCGGGGGGAUGGCGGUACCGGAAGAAUAAGCACCGGCUAACUACGUG